rnacentral:rRNA from 1 species
CCUACGGGCGACAGCAGUGGGGAAUAUUGGGCAAUGGGCGCAACCCUGAUCCAGCAACGCCGCGUGAGGGAAGAAGUCUUUCGGUUUGUAAAGCUCUAUCAUCAGGGACGAAAGAAGUGACGGUACCUGACUAAUAAGCCACGGCUAACUACGUGCCAGCAGCCGCGGUAAUACGUAGGUGGCAAGCGUUAUCCGGAUUUACUGGGUGUAAAGGGCGCGUAGGCGGGGGUGCAAGUCAGAUGUGAAAGCUAUGGGCCCAACCCCUGGACUGCAUUGGAAACUGUACGGCUUGAGUGCUGGAGAGGUAAGCGGAAUUCCGUGUGUAGCGGUGAAAUGCGUAGAUAUACGGAGGAACACCAGUGGCGAAGGCGGAUUGCUGGACAGUAACUGACGCUGAGGCGCGAAAGCGUGGGGAGCAAACAGGAUUAGAUACCCGGGUAGUC